UCUUUAUGUUGAGGGAAAUUCCUAAGCAAUCCAUUGUAUCUUUCCCAAGCUUCGUACAAGGACUCGCCAUCGUUAUGUUGGAAAUUAGCAAUCUUCGUUUUUAGUUU